GCACCGCUGCCACCCUCUGGCAGCCAUGACCUGGGGCGGCAGCCUGUGCCAGGGGCCCGGGCUGAGCCCUGCCGGGCCAGCAGGCCCUGUGGCCUCAGGGCUGGCAGCACCCGUGUGCGGCAGCUGUGGCUCUGAAGGCAGGACUCGCUCUGUGUUCCCAAGGGAUCGCCGGGCGCUACCUGACAGGGCAGCAGCCAGAGUUCCGGAUCAUCUGCAUGGCCCUUCAGGACAUGACGGAUGACACCAGCCCUACCGUCUCAUGCCUGGCACUUCAAACUCUGUACAUCAAUUUAGCUGUACAGAGCAUUCCCUCCUCCCGACUCCAGAAGAUGCGAGACCAACUCCGCCAGCUCUGGAAGUCGCGGCCUUUCCUGUUUCACCGUGGCUGAGUGUCCUGCUGCGGCGCCGUGGAGAAGUGAUCCGGGAGGCUGCGUCUGCUGGGGCCACCUGAACCUGCGGGGAACACCUCUCCUCUGCAAGCACUUCCUUUCCCACCCUCUAUAGGAACAUUAAAUUGCUGUUGUCAUA